AAGGCGUUGCGUUCUCGUGGAUCUUUUCUCGGGUAUAUGUAUGUAUAUAACUUCAUGGAAGAUAUCGAUGCUUCUUUUCUCGGAAGGAAUAGCCGACAGAUCGACCGUAGAAUGAUGCCACAAUAACGAGUACAGAGGGCGAUUUUCGUUCGAUGAAAAGACAUUAAAAGAUUUUAAAAAGAAAAAAGAUGAAGAAAUUGAAGAUAUUUACCGUUCGAUUAGGACGGUUAAGUAAAUCACAAACAUUGUGUUCCACAAUAUACGAUAGUAUCCGUUUAUGGUGUGUUUCGAUUUGUACCAGAUACCGGAAGAACAGAUCAAAAUUGUAAUUCAUUAUGCAGUGUAUAUAUGCGUGCAUAGUAUUAGUUUGAGUUUACUGUUUCUGAUCAUGUAAGCAAGUGUCAUCGUUGUUAAUAUUAGCGGCAAUUUGUAUAAUGUAGACAAUAUUACGGCGACGUUAGAAACACAUACUUUAGUUACAUAUAUCGCCUUUGUUGUAAAAGCAACGAAUGUUAAUGUCUUCCGUGUACCUGGGUGUGUGUGUGUGUGUUAGAACCAAUAUCACAUGAUUUGUGAUGAGAAAAAAAAAAACAGAAAAAAAGACAAAAAUACAUGUAACAACUAUAUAGUAUCGACUAAAUUAGUUUAAGGAUUGCAUUCGGUUGCAACUAACGCGGAAAUACGAGGACAGUAAGCGAUCAAACGGAAACAUUCGUUUGAUCGCGGUAUCGACGUCGCGACGUAUAAUGCAAUGUGAAACACAAGUGACAUGUGAUUACCAGUGUGUCUUAGACCAAAAAAUCUUAAAUCGAUCGACUGCGUAAAAAUAAAUAAAUAAAACAAGUAAAAAAAAGACAUAAAGUGUAUAUGAAAACAGAUAGUCAUAUAUAAAUGUCUAGUAGCCAGCACCCUGCGGAUUUGAACGCAAAUAAAAAAGAAAAACGCAGUAUUCUCAGUGUAACAGGUUUACAUUUAUUGUCUCGAUCUCCCCUGGUUUAGGCAUAUAUUAAUAAAUGUAAUAUUCAUUGCCAUUCAUUAAUGUGGCUUACAACGUGGGGCUGUAUUAAAAGUAAAAUCGACGAUUUUCUUUUAAAAGUACCAUUCUGAUGCGCUUCACGCCAUAUAUAUAUAUAUGUAUAUCCGUAUAUUAUACAUAUGUAUAUAUUGGUUCGAAGCACGCUCUCUCGAAAUUUCUUUGAACAGCGCACGACGACGAGUCGUGUUACAAGCAACGAAAAGACUACUACCUACUGCUCUUAUCAUCGUUAACAAUUCCACGUUUACUCUUUCUAUUUUGGCUUAUUUCUUCGUCACGAACUUCGAACCCUGACCGCGUGCUAUCACCAACUUUUUCGCCUGUUGCAACAGAUUAAACGAGCGUUUCUUUGUAUAUACUGUGCAAGUCGCACCGAUUAAACGUAUUAAAGUUGGUACAAGCGAAUAUUUAGUUAUCUUUCGUUGUAUAUAUGUAUGUGUGUGUACUUCCUUUCUCCCAAUUAAAAGUACGCAUUUCAUUGACAUGGCGAAUACUCCGGAACAACGGCAAGCAGCAGUCAUAUCUCUACGAUGAUAUCCUUACAAAUAUUGAAUGCUAAAAAUACUAAACAAGACAGUCUUCUUUCACUAUUAAUAAGUCUCAGUUUAUCGAUUCUUUGCACUUUCAAUUCGGUAAAACGAAUUGCAGAACAUAAUAUGUAUAUGCGUAUGAUCCGACUAGCGUUUAUCAACUGUUUCGUAUAAUAAAAGCUUUGAAAAUCGUACUUGUAUAAUAAUUGCAAAGUCAUAGAAAAACAGCGAAGAAGUGCGCUAGAACUGUUAUACCUGAUGUCGCUAUUUUUUCGUUCCUUAUAUAAUCGUCACAUUUUUCCUUCAUCUUAUAAUAUAAUGUCAUAAAUAUAAAAGAUGUGUGCUUUUUAAAAUAUAUAUAUAUGUAUUAUAUAUUAUAAAUAUAUAUGCACAUAUUAUAUAUAUAUAUUGUAAAUAUAUAUACAUAUAUUAUAUAUAUAUGCUGUAAAUAUAUAUACAUAUAUUAUAUAUAUAUAUAUUGCAAAUAUAUAUACAUAUAUAUUAUAUAUAUUGUAAAUAUAUAUAUAUGCAUAUAUUAUAUAUAAAAACACAUGUAUAUUAUGUAUGAAUGUAUAAAAAAGAUAGAAAAUAUGUAAAAUUAAAAGUAAGAAAAGCGUGGCUCGUAGUAUCAAAAAAAAAAAAAGAAGAAAAAAAUUAAGAAAAAGAAAUAAUAAUACAGAAUCUUUCUCGAGAAGUCACAAUAAUCAUAUGUAAAAAGACCUGCGUGUUUGAUCGUCCUCGAGACCAUAAUCGAUCUUGCCGGUGCUCCCAGAGCAUACCCUUGCAAUUGGCGCUCUCUCUCCCUCCCUCUCGCUCUCUCUUUCUCUCCUCUCUUAUAUCGUUUUACAUAAUUUGAUAUCAAUACCUUUUACUUUUUUAAUAGUUUAAGUUAAUUUAAACACAACUAACAGCAGCACAGCAUAGUCCGGUACUGACCUAUAACCAUUACGGACGGAUGGAUUCCGGGAGGUUCGCACGAUAUAUUUUUCUCCAUUAUCGGCCCGUAUUACCUCUUUCUCUUUCUUUGUAUUUUUGUCACACUCAUUCAUGUAGGUUCAGUACUUACACCGUCUAUGAUUCUUAUUCCAUACAAAAAUAAUUACGUUAUAUAUAUAUCGUCUAUAUAUUGCCAUGCGUACGUUAUAUAUAUAACAUCUUUCUUUAUACAUUUUUGCCCAAGUACUUUUUUUUCGUUAAGUUAUUCGCAAACGCCAUUCGCCUCGCAAUACUCGCCGGUACAGCAUAUCGUUCAAAUAGGAAAUACGAUAUUGCUGUACGCUUUCAUUAGGAAAGAAAGUUGAGGAACAUGCUACGAAGCUGUUUUCGAUGUUAUCUCGUUUAAAUUAAAUCUUAAUAGGAACUUUCUAACGAAAUAAGUAUCUGAAUCAUAGAAUAUUCGUACGUUUAGGAAAUAUUAUUCAACGGGACAAGUAGCAAAAAAUAAAAUGCAAAGUGCAUGUAAAAUGAGGUUAUGUUCGAAUACCUGCAUUAGUCGAUCGAUCGAUUAAAAAAAUCCUCAUUUUUAAAAUAUAGUUCGAUCGUGGGAUCGCAUGACUAGAUUUAUACGCGUUUAUUAGCUUUCGGUUCACUAAGGAUAUCGACGUUUUGCAUUAAAAUACACGAUGGUACCUACAUUCUUUUUCCAAACAAGGCACUAGGCGGAAAUGAUCCAUUAAUUCUAAUUAGUCGUGUAUAUACUCGCGCGAAGUAUUGCGAUGUCAAUGGCUGCGAAUAGAUGGUGCGCAAACUUUACUUUUCUACCAAUAUAAUGAAUUCUGAGCAAAUAGUGGAGGGACUCGGUCUGAGUUCGGCUAAUUUGAUCACCUCAUUACAGAGUUUUAUUGGUUCAAUGAAAAGGAAUUUGAUUCGAGAGAUUAGGCAAAUGUACCUCUAAUACGUCUAUCGAUACGAAAACGAUUAUCCGAAUAAAUAAAAUUCGAAAUUGUUUAUCGAUGUAAAAUUCAUUAGGCGUUUCGCAAAAGCUUUGUAGUGAAAUUUCAAAAGAUUCUUUUUCCAUUUUUCAACGACUGUUACGUCUUACCUGUCAUACACUUAAUAUAGCGUAUAUUAUUUUCUAACCUAAUACUGCUUAGAAUCCAAACUCUAUAAUAGGAUGAGAAAUAAGCCAGUUAGCUAGCGACGAGCUAGCGGUGCAAUUAAAGAAAGAAAAAAGAUGGCAGAUGAAGUAGAAAAAAAAAAUAACAA